GACGAACGCUGGCGGCGUGCUUAACACAUGCAAGUCGAACGGAAAGGCCCUGCUUUUGUGGGGUGCUCGAGUGGCGAACGGGUGAGUAACACGUGAGUAACCUGCCCUUGACUUUGGGAUAACUUCAGGAAACUGGGGCUAAUACCGGAUAGGAGCUCCUGCUGCGUGGUGGGGGUUGGAAAGUUUCGGCGGUUGGGGAUGGACUCGCGGCUUAUCAGCUUGUUGGUGGGGUAGUGGCUUACCAAGGCUUUGACGGGUAGCCGGCCUGAGAGGGUGACCGGCCACAUUGGGACUGAGAUACGGCCCAGACUCCUACGGGAGGCAGCAGUGGGGAAUAUUGCACAAUGGGCGGAAGCCUGAUGCAGCAACGCCGCGUGCGGGAUGACGGCCUUCGGGGUGUAAACCGCUUUCGCCUGUGACGAAGCGUGAGUGACGGUAAUGGGUAAAGAAGCACCGGCUAACUACGUG
rnacentral:rRNA from 1 species